GAAAACCGAAGCCCCAAAAUCUCGGGUAUAUAACCCCGGCAGAUUUUAACGAGAGGGAAGUCUCCAGAGUUCCGUCUCCACGACUAGUUCUUUCCGAGAGAGGAUCAACCGAGAAGCUUCUGCCGAAAUUCGACACCAGGAAGGCAAGAGCUGAUCAGCUGGGAGUUGACGCGUCGGUCCAGCACACAAGGAAUACUCCCAUCGCCCGCACCCCUCGACCCCCGGGGCGAUCAACGCUGCGGCCGAGGACAAAAGCGAGCGCGACGUGUCGCGACGCGUUCUUACACCGUUUUUUCGACCCGUCGUCAAGUCGCGUGCCGAAUCACCCAAGCUAGCGCUUUAAACCACAACGGAACACACACCGCGCGGUCACUAAUCGGUGGCUCGACCCUCAUUGCGGAUCAAGCGCCGUCUGAAAUAAUUACCGAAAUAAGCUCCAAGCAAAUCGCUCACCUACCACGGUGACCCCGCGGGGCUCGUAGCGUCCGCGGAAACGAUUCACGCAAUCAUCUAACACCCAAACAUUGGGACGUCGCGUCACGGCACGCGGUCGUGACGGGCAAAUAAAGACUUAUUGUGUUAUACUUAUUUUGUCUUCGCUUAUUGACACAUACACACACCACACACACACCUUCACCUGAAAAUCUUUCCUGUGGUCGGCUCGCAAACCGCGAUCCAAGCCACAGGGCCGGAUCAACCCGAAACAACCGAGCCUGGAGGCGCGACCGUUACAUGGCGAUCCUGCCAGGAUCCGGCAGCUAAAGGGAAGGUGUGUGUUGCACGAUAAGUGGAGACA